rfam:Acidovorax sp. MR-S7 DNA, scaffold: scaffold74, whole genome shotgun sequence.
UCGCAUCCGCAAACCGGUUCAGCCGUGACGCGGAAGGUUUACCAACCAGCUAAAGCUUCCUUCAGGGAAGCGGAGGUCAGCG